CGGUAAUGACAUUUACUUGAAUAUGACUUAAAUAUUCUUAUUUGAAUCGGAGUUUUAUCACUCUUGUAGCGCAAGUUGUGUGUUUUGCCUAAGCGACGGGCUCUUUCAAUCGAAGUCUCAUAAGACCACGUGCGUCUAUUGUUACGAUGGAGGGAAUUCUUUCGACUACACACCGAUUGCUGGGCUACCAAAGCCUUUACUCAAAAUCUCAACUCAUUUAUGAAGAAAGACUAAAAACAAGCGUCGUGUUGAUUUCAAAAACAUCUUGACAUUUCGUAAACAAUCCUUAGGUGAAAACAACUACGACAUGACUAGCUUUAUGAGAAUUAAAAGCUUUCGUCGACACCUGAUUUCGUUAAUAUGUUUUAAGUAUUCAGUUAUCUUACACUGUGACUCAAAAUGACUAAAAAGGACAACCUAGACAAAGAUAGAGAACCGAGAUGGAAGCGAGUCUCAAAUGAUCUCAAGUAGAAAAGAACUGAAAUGAUCUACAAGAUAACACAAAUCCGCCCUUUCCAGUGAAAAUACUAUUUCAAGGUCUGAGCUUCUAGACUACAAAUAAAAGAUCACUUGAAUUAAUCCCGUAGGUUCGGUGUGUUUGCGACACGCUGAGAUAGAACACAAAUGGAUUCCCAAACUUUAGCCGCGACAGAUCACGGACUGUCAUCUACCCGCCUUUUAAGCUGUCCCUUCCAUUUAUUCGGCUCUUUUUAUAUCGAAAUGGAUAGAUAAAUAGCUCAACAUAGUUUUAUCCAUCAGCUUGCAGUUCGACUAUGCCGAUAUUACGCCGGAUUUUAAGCUCUGUCAGGUGUCAUUCCACCCCGUGUUCCCACGCCAAAGCGCACGAAUGAUUCGAUUUGACAACUGUUUCUUUUUUCUUUUCUUAUUCUAGCGGUAUUUUUAUUUUAGCAUCCACUAUCUAAACAACUCAAUCGCGAUACUAACAACUUUAAAUUAUCUAUUCCUUAAGCGGUUAAUCACAUUAUGAAAAUUUUGUCUAAAUGAGGCAGAAAUCUAUCCAUUUUUACGSCUUUCUAUACACUUCCACAGUACAAAACGAGGUAAUUAGCAGUCGAAAAGCACAAUCAUAUAGCUCCAAGCUGAAUAGACAAAACUUUAAGACCUUUGUCUCUCAUGAAAAGGGAGAUUUUCCAUAAUUGAAUAAAGCGAAAUUCCAAAAGCAGUGUUCCAUUUGAAUGGUAUUUAUUUCCUAAUUAUUUCAAUUCAAUUUGCAUGAAAAUAGGCUCAACUAUGUGAUGAACAAAGUCACCAAUAGAUGAAUGGCAAAUGUUUUCAGACCCCACAGAAUAUUAGUCGCUACCUUCGGAAUCAGUUGUUCGGGGGGGCUUUGUGAGUUUAAAUUAAAACCCCGUUUCUUUUGAUCCUCUAAGUAAAACACUAAAAUCUCGCAAAAGGCCUAUCAAAUAUUCGCUCACCAAAGAGAUCAAAAGCCACUUAUGUGAUUUCGUGCUGACACCGGUGCGUAAAUUUCAGUAGGCAUGCAUAAAGAGACAUAAAGUUUAUCUUUUUUGUAUCUCAUGCCGAGAAUCAAUUUUCCCUCUUGUCCGUUUGAAUUAUAUUCUUAUUGUUUCUAUCACAGCUACAUAGUUAUUGAUGAAACUUCCGUCUUAUAUAUGACCGGUAAUUAUACAUAACCCCAGUCCUUUUACAACGCUUUAAGAUCACCGCACUUUGAAUACUCGUGCCCUAGACAUCUCAAGCCUACAAGAAACUUUACAGAAGACCCGCCGGACAUUAUGACAAUACAAACUUAAGAUAAUCCAUUUCAUCGAUCAUGUAUGAAUCUAGGCAUGCGAUUUCGAGCGAUUUAUUUAGACUACAGCGAUCAUCACAUGUUUCACCAGAACAAAACAAUUAAAACAAAGUUUUAAUUUAAGACGCGUAUUCGGAGGUCCUAAAAGGUUUGCCUAACAGUCAGCAACAUUGGAAGGAAAUGAACAUAAUUCCUUAUUAUAAGGGCUCUAAAAGCUCGCAUCGAUUAAUCCCCGAGCUUCCCUUUGAGGAAAAAAACACUCGUAUUUUACCCAGAUACUCUUACUGGUUUUUUCGCAUUUUGAAUCUAGUUAUCAAGUAUGAGUUAGUGGGCUAAUGAGAAAUGUUAUCGUWUAUUUUUUGUGAAGAGAAUCCAAUUGUUUUGAAAUGAAUAAUGACGCUCAGGUAGGAAAACAAUGAAUUGCCAUCUGCAUCGAGAUAAAAAUCAAUUGAACAUUUGGGAUGUUUGAAAUCACCAACUUUACGAAUCGGAAAACUGUGUGAUAGAUACGAUAGGAUCUUCUGGCUGCCAUUAUGUUGURGUUGAGGGCCAUCACUAAGUACUAGARCACAACAUCCCAAACACGAUCCCUACUCUAAAAGCUUAAACCCGGCUGGCUUUUUCCUCUUUUUGGAAGUAAUUUCCGAAACAGUGUCGGAUAAUAAACGCAUAUUCAUCUAAUCGUUCUGGCAAAUACAGUGGAAUUCCCCUCUAGCGCACAAAGAACAUCAAGUCAAUCGGAGCUCAUUGAAAUCAACACCAGAGUAAACACGAUUUUAAAACAAACAUGAGCUGCUCUUUUUGAUAGCCUAACUGAACGGCAGUAUCUAUGGUCAAUUUGCUCAAUCUGACAGCGCCGUCGAAUAUUCAUCAACCACGAACAAUAAUUGUUUCGAUUCACCUGGAGCGGUGAUUUCGUUCACUGAUUGCAAGACAGGUUUCGACGAUUUAAUAAAUGACAACACACAAACUUCGAACGACAUGAAUGUGUAAUAUAAGAGACAGGAACAGAGCAUCAAUCAAUUAAAUACUUGCUGGCAAUAUUCGUUUAGGGAGGAAUUAUGCUCUUUUGUGUCACUGAAUARCACAAUUGGAUUGGAAUCAUUCAUUCGAACAAAAGCGGAGCGAAAAUUAACGCGCGGGCGAAUCUUACAAUAUCAUUCUGACGUCUUCAAGUUCGAUUUGUGAAAAAUGGCCUUAAUUUCACAAUAUCAAGUGUGAGCCCAUUCGUUACAGAUACCAUCUCAAGCGUUUUAACCCGCUUUUUAACUAGCUCAAUACUAAAAUCCAUCCAAGAAUAAAGAACUAAUGGACGAUUUGAGUGUGUUUUUCGAUGACUAAAAUUGUUUAAUCAAGUUCCUGUAGAACUUCUCUUUUAAUUGUUUUUCCUUGAGCAAUGUCUACAUGUCGCAUCUUGAUUCAAUGCUGCAUCCGGCACGCGAAAAUAGACUUUUUAUCAUAAUCUGUUUUAAAAGGUCUUUUACGGUUUCUAUCCACAUUUUCAAUUACUYGAGUUAUUUGCAAGGAAAUCAAAUUGUGUAUUUAAACUCAGCCAAGCAGAUGAAAGCUAAUGCAGUAGCCCAUUUUGUACACAUGACGACUAAGUAAAUAUUCAAAGGAAAUAAAGAAAGGGUCUACAAAAUGACGUUAUUUUUGACUGAACAGAUUCACUUAAAAAACUCGGGGCACUUGGGUUUUCUUAUUAUACACCAUAAAACGGGUGUAACUCUUCUGAGUAUAAAACCAGAUACUAACUAUACACAACAGUUUAACAGCAAGGCACAUUAACUUUAAGAAUUGCACUUCUCAUAUUUCAAAAYCCUUAUUUCCUACACAUCAACCCACACAAUCACGAUGUACACUCCACACCAACUCUAAUGAAAGAAUUUCAACAUCUUCUUGCCUUUUGGUAGAGUCCAAUUAACCGUCCUUUUGACCAAAAAUAGACUAUUUUUGAAAACGAAGAAAAAUAUGUAUAUAUAUACGCGUAUCGACGCGGGUUCGUAAAUUCAGCUGCACAAUGCGAAAAUACUUUGAUGAAGUAGAUACCAUUUAUUUUAGAUAGAAUCGUCUGACUCUCUAAUCCAACUUUUCGACUUUUGAGCUGAUGUCUUAAACUGAGGGAUUAUGAAUAUAAGAAAAGAUGAGCAGUUGUUUAAAUAUCGUUUUUAAACAGAAGCUUACAAACAGCGGUUGAUAACAUAAGCAUUUGACUUCCAGAGAACAUCUGCCCCUAUASAGCAGUGUCCACUUCGCUAAAAGCGCGCAAAUUCACGAUAAAUAUGGAUUGAAAGGUGUUCCUAGAAGCUAAAUGAUGAGAUGAAAUGAAUCUCUCGACGGAUUAUGUCUAAUAAAAACAUUCAGAUAUUGAUCACAAUCGUUCUAGGAGAACUAUGACGUGCGGUUGCCUGUUAUAUGAAUGAUACAAUGAAACUUAAGACUUGAAGGUAAGAAAACAAGGAGCGAAACAAUGAAUKCCAAACAAGAAAGGGAAGAAAGAAAUAAMGUUAAAAAACGAAAAAAUAGGAAUGGGAAAUGGGAAAAAGUCGAAAGAAAAUAAUUAUAAAUAAAAUAGUAAAUGAAAGCUGAUAUUGAAAAAUAGAAAUGAGAAACGACAGAGACAAAAGCUUAGGACCAAAACUGAGGAUGGAAGGAAAGAUAAGAACUAAAUAUUAAACGGAGACUGAAUAUAAACGGAGGAAAAAAGAAGCGAUUGAAGAGAAAAACUACGUGAUCAGAUGUGAAGUAAAAAUGAACGAAAAAUAGAAAUAAAACAAACGAAAAACAAAAUCUAAUCAGAAUGCUAGAUAAAGCAAAUCCGUAAUCACGGAAGAAAGAUUAUUUUAUCGUAAUAACAGGCUUCAGAAGUUUUACCAAAACCAGAUCAGCACAACUGAGCCAAAAAUGUAUCUUUUAAGAUCUAAAUACACAAAAGGCUCUUCUCAACAUACAGAUUUAGAUUUCGUUUUGCCUUUAUUUCCUUUCAGUAUCCUUAAAUUCUCUUAUUGUAGAAAAACACAUUAUAAUUAUUAGCUCUACUUAGAGAGAAAAUGUUUAAUUAGAGUUACGGUGAAAAAUCAUUUCAUAGCCUGUCCAAAAAUAAUAGAUACAUAGCACUACCAAUUAAGGACGUAUCGCCUGCAGACAUAGAGACCCACAACGGAGAAAACUGUUCUUGUUUUCUCAAAUAAUAAUAAAGCACAUGUUAAUACGAAUAAACGGAGAGAAGAAAAACAAAAAUACUUGAAAAUGYGGUUAGUGUCGAAAGAAGGUUACUGAGGUUGAAUAAACGCCAAUGGACCGAAUGACUUGCUAAUUUAGGAUAACAAAAAAUAGUCAAGAUGAAAGAAAACUGCCGUAAAAAAAAUGAAGGGACCCUUUUUGAGGCAAUGGUGCUUAGAGGGAUGAUGCUGUUUUUUUUUUUUUUUUUUUUUUUUUUUUUUUUUUUUUUUUUUUUUUUUUUUUCGAGGGGGGGGGGUGUUUGGGGUCAAGGAGUCAUGGCAUUAAAAGCAAUCACAUAAGUAAUCACACAGGAUAACAAAAAAUAGUUAAGAUGAAAAAAAAACUAGAAAAAAAUGAAGGGAACCUUUUUUUGAGACAAUGGUGCUUAGAGGGGUGAUGUGUGUAGUUUUUGUUGGGUUGAGAGAGUCAUGGUAGUACUUUUAAUUAAAAAGUAAUCAGAAGUGUGAUACUUGAAGAGAAAAGUAAAGAUUUGCAGAGGCUUUUGAGGGGUUCAUAUAGGGUGUGGCUUUCUGACAUCUUAAGGGUGUGGACUUUAAAGAGGCAAGGGGCUUUUUUACAGGUGUAGCUAGCAAUGUUAGUGUAGGUCUAGUUGCAGAAGGUUCUUUUCAUUUGCUAUUUCAACAGCUGAAGGGUGGGGUGCUUAUGGAUGUGAGGGGGUUAGAGGUUAGGGAGGUCUUGAUUGAACUGCAAUUGUGGAGUUGCUAUAGGUCAAAUAGGGUGUCAUGCUUGAUACUUUUGGCAGAGGUGUUUAAAGCGGUUAAGUGUUUGCAGUUUAUUGUAUAGAUAUAAAAGGUGUGAUGGUUACUGGUAGUUUGUAUGUAGAAAUAUGUUAUAUUGUGUGUUGUGUGUUCAAUUUAUAGAAGCAAGGGAUGUAGCUGUUGUACACUUUGUUUGGAGGAGAAGGAUUUAAGAAGAUGGACAUGUCAGAGUGUUACAUGUAUGUGUUAUUACAAGUGGUGGGAAGGCCAAGAGUAAUGGAAUGUGGUAUUAGUAAAGGAAAGGAUUUGGUUGUGGGUUGUGAUGUUGUUAUACUAACAUAAGUCUUUCAGUGGUUCAGGGUUGAGGUGUGUGGUGUUUAUCUAGUUGUAAGCAGUGAUUUAAGGAGUGAAUUUUUUCUUAGAACAAUGGUUUUGGUGUUUUUUUUUAAGUGAGCUGGAACAAGGGGUGUUAUUUUGAUGGGUUGUAAUGUCCAUGAGGCUGCACUGGCACAAAAGAUGAGGUUUUGAACCAUGAGUGAUGACUUUAUAGGGACAAGACAAGGUUUUGAYAGUUGUACUUUAGAACUCUUGAGCCACAAGUCAAAUUGAAAGAACAAGAGAAAGACAUUGAUUUUGACAAAGGCGAUUGAAAGCUCUUCCUCACAGGAUGAAAAGUGCUAUUCUUAUUAAUGACAAUCAAACCAGGGGCUCAAAAUCSACCUCUUGAGAAUAACAUUUCAAUCAUGAUGAAAGUACCUAGUGUUCUUAAAGUCAUAGAAAUAAAGAAAGCUGUCCAGUCUUUCAAGUUUGCGAAUUGACAGUUUCGUUGAAAUUAAACUUCAUUMUAAGAAAUUAUAUAAGUCCUUUUUUCUUUAAUUAAAAGUUAGAAGUAGUCCUUUGAUUUAUUGUACAGAAAAAUGAAGACUUAAGAAUUAAAGAGGUUGUAAAAACAU